rnacentral:sRNA from 1 species
UUGCUGUGUCAAUUCCUGAGGACAAGCAUGCAGGUGGCACUGAGGAGAGGUUCCCUCGUGCAUCCCAUGAAAAGGUUUCCCAAUUUCCUUCCCAAGUGCAGUUGGGUCAUAUUUUAAGUGGUGCUACCACCAAAUCUACAAAAGAGCUACUUUGCAGGGCACCCAGUGUGCCAGGAGUCCCACACCAUGUCCUGCAGCUCCCAGAGGGAGAGGGUUUCUGCAGUAAUUCCCCUCUUCAGGUUGAUAACCUGUCUGGAGAUAAGAGCCAGACUGUGGACAGAGCAGACUUUAGGAGCUAUGAAGAGAAUUUCCAAGAAAGAGGAAGUGAAACAACGCAGGGGCUCCAGCAGCAGAGCCUGUCCCAGCAGGGUUCUCUUUCUGCACCUGAUUUCCAACAAAGUUUGCCUACGACAUCUGCUGCACAAGAGGAAAGAAACUUGGUGCCCACGGCCCACUCACCAGCAAGCUCUAGGGAAGGAGCAGGGCAGCGCUCAGGUUGGGGGACGAGGGUCUCCAUAGUGGCUGAAACUGCUGGGGAAGAAGACAGUCAGGCUCUGAGCAACGUUCCAUCUCUCUCUGAUAUCCUUUUGGAAGAGUCUAAAGAAUAUAGACCUGGAAAUUGGGAGGCAGGCAACAAGCUGAAGAUUAUAACUCUAGAGGCUUCCGCUUCUGAAAUCUGGCCACCAAGACAACUGACAAAUUCUGAGAGCAAGGCAUCAGACGGUGGUCCCGUAAUUCCUGGCAAGGUCUGGGCUGUACCUGAGAGUCUAAAAGCAGGUGCUGUUGUGCCUGAAUUGGCCCCCUCUGAAAUAGUAGCAUCGGCUCACAGUCCAGAGGAUGCUGACUCAGCCCUUGCUGAUAACAGAGAAAGCCAUAAAGGCGAAGAGCCCACCAUCAGUGCACACUGGAGAAGUCUUUCUUCCCGGGGUUUCAGCCAACCCAGACUCCUGGAGUCAUCCGUGGACCCUGUAGAUGAAAAGGAGUUAUGUGUCACAGAUUCUCUGUCAGCGGCUUCUGAAACUGGAGGGAAGGAAAAUGUUAACAAUGUGAGUCAAGACCAGGAGGAAAAACAACUCAAGAUGGAUCACACUGCCUUCUUUAAAAAGUUUCUGACCUGCCCUAAAAUCCUAGAGUCCUCUGUAGAUCCCAUUGAUGAGACAAGUGUGAUAGAGUACACCAGGGCUGGAAAACCAGAGCCCUCUGAAACCACACCAAAGGGCGCCAGAGAAGGGGGUCAAUCAAAUGACAGAAACAUGGGCCACGAGGCGGAAAUCCAGCCGGCCAUUUUGCAAGUUCCAUGUCUCCAGGGAACCAUUCUGAGUGAAAAUAGAAUCAGCAGAAGCCAAGAAGGCAGUAUGAAGCAGGAGGCUGGACAAAUUCAACCUGAUGAGGCAAAAACUGCCAUUUGGCAAGUCCUGCAACCCAGCGAAGGUGGUGAAAGAAUUCCAAGUGGAUGUAGCAUAGGCCAAAUACAAGAAAGCAGUGAUGGGAGCUUAGGGGAGGCUGAGCAAAGCAAAAACGACAAAGCAGAAUUGAUUUCCUCCACUUCACCUCUUUCUAGCUGUCUUCCAAUAAUGACUCAUGCUUCUCUUGGGGUUGACACGCACAACUCCACAGGCCAAAUUCAUGACGUCCCUGAAAAUGACAUAAUUGAGCCCAGAAACUGUCAGUAUGUGUUUCCUGUUUCACAGAAAAGGGGAACUAUUGAGAAUGAGCGUGGGAAACCUUUGCCCUCUUUUCCUGAUCUUACCAGGUUCCCUUAUACUUCAUCUCCUGAAGGAAAUGUCACAGACUUUUUGAUAAGCCACAAAAUGGAGGAACCUAAAAUAGAGGUGCUUCAAAUUGGGGAAACCAAACCCCCAAGCUCAUCUAGCUCCUCAGCAAAGACCUUGGCAUUUAUUUCAGAAGAACGUGAGUUAGAGAAAGCCCCUAAGUUACUGCAGGAUCCAUGUCAAAAGGGCACCCUGGGCUGUGUGAAAAAGUCCAGGGAGAGAGAGAAGUCCCUGGAAGCCCGAGCAGGCAAAUCGCCAGGGGCCCUCACAGCAGUGACGGGGUCAGAGGAGGUCAAGAGGAAGCCAGAAGCCCCAGGCAGUGGACAUUUAGCAGAGGGAGUAAAGAAGAAAAUUUUGUCCAGGGUGGCAGCCCUGAGGCUGAAACUGGAAGAAAAGGAAAAUGCCAGAAAGAACUUAGCCUUUCUUAAAAAGAUGCCCAAACUGGAAACAUCAUUAUCACACACAGAAGAGAAACAAGACCCAAAAAAGCCAUCUUGCAAAAGAGAAGGAAGAGCUCCAGUGUUACUGAAAAAGAUCCAAGCUGAGAUGUUCCCUGAACACUCUGGAAAUGUAAAAUUAAGCUGCCAAUUUGCAGAAAUUCAUGAAGAUUCUACUAUCUGCUGGACAAAAGAUUCAAAGUCCAUAGCCCAAGUGCAGAGAAGGUGCGAUGUUUUUCCCUGGUUACUUUUCACAGUUGUUGCUUGUUUAUUUCACAACAUGGUUGUAAAAAAAAAAAAAGAAUAAAUUAUAGGACAUGAAAAGGAAAAUUGAAGCAAAGAUUCCACAUCCACAAUAUUAAAAAAGAUUAAAUAUUGGAAGACAAGUGUCUGGAUGGGGAAAAUGAUGGAGGAUUCUUGCCCAGGUUUUGCCAGCAUUGAGUUCUGGGGUUUUGGGAAGUCACACAAUCUUUCACUACAUUUUUUAAAUCAGGGGAAGGAACAUGUCAAAUGAUAUUCUAGUCUGAGGUUCUGUGGUCCUAAGAUUAAAGAGCUCUCAUCUGU